GACGAACGCUGGCGGCGUGCUUAACACAUGCAAGUCGAACGGUGAAGGGAGCGGUUUGUUCUUGUUCUGUAUGAGGGGGAAACGGGUGAGUAACACGGGAGUAACCUACCCCCUUCUUCGGUAUAACCGCAUGAAAGUGUCUCUAAUACGUGAUAUUCUUCGCCUGCUGCAUUGUGGGGUGGGGAAAGAUAUUGUUUCGGUGGGGGAUGGGCUCGCGGCCUAUCAGCUUGUUGGGGGGGGGAUGGACUACCAAGGCGGUGCAGGGUAGCCGGCCUGAGAGGGUGGACGAUACUACUGGGAAUGCGACAUCGAGAAGACUACUACGGGCGGCAGCAGUGGGGAAUACGGCACAAUGGGAGCAAUGCUGAUGCAGCGCCGCGGCGUGAGUGAUGGAGGCCUGAGCGUUGUACACCUCUUUCGCCAGUGAAGCAGGGCUGUACUUUCUGUGGGUGUCUUGACGGUACCUGGACAAGAAGCCACGGCUAACUACGUG
rnacentral:rRNA from 1 species